rnacentral:rRNA from 1 species
UACGGAGGGGGCUAGCGUUGUUCGGAAUUACUGGGCGUAAAGCGCGCGUAGGCGGACCUGCAAGUCGGGGGUGAAAGCCCGAGGCUCAACCUCGGAACUGCCUUCGAUACUGCGGGUCUCGAGUCCGGGAGAGGUGAGUGGAAUUCCUAGUGUAGAGGUGAAAUUCGUAGAUAUUAGGAAGAACACCAGUGGCGAAGGCGGCUCACUGGCCCGGUACUGACGCUGAGGCGCGAAAGCGUGGGGAGCAAACAGGGAUUAAGAAACC